rnacentral:rRNA from 1 species
AUUGAACGCUGGCGGCAGGCCUAACACAUGCAAGUCGAACGAGAGGGGGGCGGGGGAGGAAAGUCUGGGAAACUGACCGAUGGAGGGGGAGAAGUACAGGAAAGGGGAGAGAAGACAGCAUAGGAGAGGAAGUGGCGAGAUGGGAUUAGCUAGUGGGUGGGGUAACGGCUCACCUAGGCGACGAUCCCUAGCUGGUCUGAGAGGAUGACCAGCCACACUGGAACUGAGACACGGUCCAGACUCCUACGGGAGGCAGCAGUGGGGAAUAUUGCACAAUGGGCGCAAGCCUGAUGCAGCCAUGCCGCGUGUAUGAAGAAGGCCUUCGGGUUGUAAAGUACUUUCAGCGAGGAGGCGUUACUCGCAGAAGAAGCACCGGCUAACUCCGUGCCAGCAGCCGCGGUAAUAC